rnacentral:lncRNA from 1 species
AUAUAUUAUUGAAUAUUUUAAUAGUGAUAGCUAAUAUUUACAUAUAUUUAUGCAGUCUUUCAUUUUAAUAUUCUUUUAUUUCUAUCUAUUAUUUCAUUUGAUGCUCAAACAACCUUAUAAAGUAGGUGCUAUUUCUAUUCCCUUUGUAAGGGUGAAGAAACGGGCUGCAAGAAUCAUACAGAUUCAGAAUCAUACAGCUAGGAAGCAUCCAAGAUUAUGAAGUCUGUUUUUCCAAACUCCAUAGCAAAAGUUCAGGUUCAAUGGACAAUCUUCCUUCAAAAUUCUCCUACUCCUGCUCUCUGUCCAGAUCCCAAAACACAAGAGCUUUCUUGGAGAGUUACAGGAAUUCAGCCGCAUGGAAAAGGCAAGCAGUAUGAGAGCCAAGGAACUCAACACGAACCGCCAUGUUAAGUUCUGUGCUGUGAAACUCUGCAAAUAUCACUUCCUGCUGUAAAUAUCACUAUCCUGGUCUACCAGAAUUGAUUAGUCACAUUUGAGAAAGGCAAGAAGAAAAUGGUCCCCCUACUGAGAAAUAAUUACCUUCAUUUUAUGCCAAAUAACUUGGGAAUUUUUGUCUUCAGAGAUAUUUUUACAUCUUUUGAUUCACAGGAUCAUAGAUCUUGAGCUAGAAGAGAUGACCUUAGAAAGCAUCUGAGGCAGAAAGUGGGUGGGGGAGAAAGGAAGGAAGAAAGGGAGGGGAAGAAGGAAGGAAGGAAGGAAGGAAGGAAGGAAGGAAGGAAGGAAGGAAGGAAGGAAGGAAGGAAGGAAGGAAGGAAGGAAGGAAGGAAGGAAGGAAGGAAGGAAGGAAGGAAGGAAGGAAGGAAGGAAGGAAGGAAGGAAGGAAGGAAGGAAGGAAGGAAGGAAAGAAGGAAGGAAGGAGGGAGGAAGGAAGCUAAAUCUCUUUAUUUUACAGAUGAGGAAAUAAUCCUGUAAAAUUUAAGUCUUCAUUAAAAUAACACAGAUGGUAAAUGAUAAAGCUGGGAUUCAAACCCAGAUCCUCUGAGUUCAAAAUUCUCUGUAUCUACAUUAACCAUUUUUCUCUUGGAUCAGUUAACAAAUAGCUCCAAUGCGGAGGGCAUAUAUAUUUAUAAUAGAUAAUAGAUAAAUAUAUAUAAAACAUGUAAUAUAUUUGUAAAAACUGACCUGAGGAUCCUAGAUU